UAUAUUCCCUAGUACAUAUAAAUAUCUAUUUUUUCCUCUUACGAUAUUACAAUUACAUCCUUUAUUUAAACAUUCUGAUUUUUUUAUUAUGUUAAUACAUUUUAAUCUACCUUUUUUUUUAUUCUAUUUAGAUAUUUUUGGAAAAAAAGAAAAAGAUAAGUAUUUUUUAUUAAACAGUUUUUCAAAACAAGACAAACCAAAACAACAUAUGAGAAAUUAUAAAAAUAAAAAUGUAAUAAAUGGGAAUAGUGAUAAUAUGAUUACUAAUAAUAAUUACUAUACUGAUAAGUGCUCAAACGGAAAAUCUAAACAAAAGGUCAUACAUUUUUCAAAAAUAAGUUAUUACAUAAAUGUUGUUAAUAGUUUUACUACAAGUAUUAACGAAAAUCAAAUGAAAACUUAUAUAAAUAGCACAAAUCUGAAUAAAAAAAUAAAAAAACAAAUAGUUACUCAAUGGAUGCAAAAAAGGGAAAAAAAACGGGAAGAAAAACGGGGAGAAAAACGGGGAGAAAAACGGGGAGAAAAACGGGGAGAAAAACGGGAGGAAAAACGAGGAGAAAAGCAAAAAAGGGUAACACACGAACGUAACAAUGAAAAAACUAAAAAAAAAAAACUUUAUCAUUCCAAAUGCUAUUUUCCUUUUCCUACCUUAUCAUAUCAAAAUGCACAUAAUUUUUAUAAAAAUUUUUUAUUAUUUUAUAAAACCUUAUAUUGUUCUAUUUUUUAUGAAGGUAAAAGUUAUAUGCAAUUAUUCAAUUGUUUAGAGAUGUACAAAAAAAUUAUUUACAUGUCUUUAUUUGAGGACUUUUAUUAUAAAUCUAAUAAUACAGAAUGUGUUGGAAAUUUUAGCAAUAAGGACGAUUCUAUAAAUAUCACCAAACACAACUCCAAAUAUAAUAAUAAGAAGAUACACAAAAAAGAAAUAAAUUAUACAUGGGAAUACAACGACGAUAUAUGCCUUUUAUUAAACAUGAUUAUAUGUUCAUAUAACUCUGUUUUAUAUGAAUCUGUUAAGGUUUUAUCGUUAGAAAUGUUAUACUGCAUAAUAUACCAUUUAAAUAAUCCAAAUUUAAAAAAAGAAAUUAUACCUUUUUUAUUAUAUUGUCUAAAGGAUCGAAAUGAACAAAUUAGAACUAUAACACUUAAAUGUAUAUACCGAAUUACAAUAAACGAACAAACAUAUCAAUACUGGUUUCUUUACAUAUAUAAAUUUCUUCCAAAAUUCUUUAAUUUGAU
rnacentral:lncRNA from 1 species